rnacentral:rRNA from 1 species
UAUCACGGGAGACACACGGCGGGUGCUAACGUCCGUCGUGAAGAGGGAAACAACCCAGACCGCCAGCUAAGGUCCCAAAGUCAUGGUUAAGUGGGAAACGAUGUGGGAAGGCCCAGACAGCCAGGAUGUUGGCUUAGAAGCAGCCAUCAUUUAAAGAAAGCGUAAUAGCUCACUGGUCGAGUCGGCCUGCGCGGAAGAUGUAACGGGGCUAAACCAUGCACCGAAGCUGCGGCAGCGACACUAUGUGUUGUUGGGUAGGGGAGCGUUCUGUAAGCCUGCGAAGGUGUACUGUGAGGUAUGCUGGAGGUAUCAGAAGUGCGAAUGCUGACAUAAGUAACGAUAAAGCGGGUGAAAAGCCCGCUCGCCGGAAGACCAAGGGUUCCUGUCCAACGUUAAUCGGGGCAGGGUGAGUCGACCCCUAAGGCGAGGCCGAAAGGCGUAGUCGAUGGGAAACAGGUUAAUAUUCCUGUACUUGGUGUUACUGCGAAGGGGGGACGGAGAAGGCUAUGUUGGCCGGGCGACGGUUGUCCCGGUUUAAGCGUGUAGGCUGGUUUUCCAGGCAAAUCCGGAAAAUCAAGGCUGAGGCGUGAUGACGAGGCACUACGGUGCUGAAGCAACAAAUGCCCUGCUUCCAGGAAAAGCCUCUAAGCAUCAGGUAACAUCAAAUCGUACCCCAAACCGACACAGGUGGUCAGGUAGAGAAUACCAAGGCGCUUGAGAGAACUCGGGUGAAGGAACUAGGCAAAAUGGUGCCGUAACUUCGGGAGAAGGCACGCUGAUACGUAGGUGAAG